AGCCGGAGUCAGUUUCGCUCGCUUUGUACUUGCCGCCAGUUUUUUUUGUAUUCCAUUUUCAUGGCCACGCGAUCUCUGUGGCGCACCCGCGCCAAGCUCGCGGUGGCCGCUACGGCAAUUCUCAGCGGCGCCACCGCAGCCACCAUCGCCACUUCCGAAGAUCCUGCUAUGACUCUGAAGCUUUGCACCACUGUCCCCGUCCGUCUUGCUCGCGACACCAUAACUGCCGCCUCCAUUGCCUUUGAUUAUGAAUACUCGCUGUGGGGACUACCCGAAGGAAGUGCUGAGAAAUUGAAAGUCAAACAUGAAGUUCACCUAAGAUCAGCGCGUAAGCUUCAAGAACUAUGUUUCAAAAAUGGAGGAAUAUAUAUCAAGCUUGGCCAACACAUUGGGCAGUUGGAAUAUUUAGUCCCUCUAGAGUAUGUCCAGACAAUGAGAGAGUCAAUGCUGAACAAAUGUCCUGAAUCUUCGUAUGAACAAGUGUGUGAAGUUUUCAAGAAAGAGCUUGGAGAAACCCCAGAUAAAAUUUUUAAGGAAUUUGAUCCUGUUCCAAUAGCAAGUGCUUCCCUUGCUCAAGUUCAUGUUGCUCAGACAAAUGAUGGCCAAAAAGUUGCUGUGAAGGUUCAGCACACUCACAUGACAGAUACUGCAGCUGUAGAUCAUGCCACAGUGGAAUUGAUUGUCAACACCCUACACCGGUUUUUCCCUUCGUUUGAUUACAGAUGGUUGGUUGCUGAAAUGAGUGAAAGCCUACCCAAGGAACUGAAUUUCUUGAUUGAGGCCAAAAAUAGUGAGAAGUGUUUGGACAAUUUUCGGAAGCAGUCCCCUCAUAUUGCAGAUUAUGUCUAUGCACCAAAGGUUCAUUGGAACCUGAGUACUUCAAAGUUGUUAACUAUGGAAUUUAUGGAUGCUGCCCAAAUUGAUGAUGUGAAGGCGAUUCAAGGACUCGGCAUUCAACCUAAUGAAGUUGUAAAAUUAGUUAGUCAAGCUUUUGCUGAGAUGAUGUUCAAGCAUGGGUUUGUACACUGUGACCCACAUGCUGCUAACUUGUUGAUACGCCCUUUGCCUUCGGGUAAAAGGAACAUUUUAGGCAAGAGAAAACCACAACUGAUUCUAUUGGACCAUGGGCUGUACAAAGAACUUGACUUUGCCACUAGAUUUAAUUAUGCUGCCCUUUGGAAGGCAUUGAUAUUUGCUGAUGCUGAUUCAAUAAAGGAAAAUAGUGUUAAAUUGGGAGCUGGAGAGGAUCUAUAUGCUCUCUUUGCAGGGAUUCUUACCAUGAGACCCUGGAACAGGGUUGUUGAUCCAGCUGUUGAUCAUUUGGUCAUACAAGGCAACGAGAGUGAACUUUCGGAACUGCAGGUCUUACUGCUUGCAUUGCAAUCACUACAUUUUGCAGAUGUAUGCAUCUCAAUAUUUCCAUGAAAUCUCAGAGCUGCUAAGGAGGCUUCCACGUGUAAUUCUGCUAAUGCUAAAGACAAAUGACUGUCUACGAACAGUAAAUAAUUCUCUGUUGCAGGGAUCUUCUCUUGAGACAUUUUUCAUUAUUGGAAAGGUUUCCUCUGAGGCAGUCCUCGAGGCAAAGAAGUUACAGAGGAAAUCCUUCCUUAGUUGGUUAGAUGUAUGGAUGGACGAAAUCUUGUUGGAGAUUCGACUGUGGGGAAUGCAGAUAGCAGUGUGGCUUUUACAACUCAGGAGAGCUUUGCCUGGUUUAAACUAGAAAUCCCUAUAAACUAAUUCUUUGGACUGAGUUCCAGUUUCGUUUGCCAUUUUACGAUGAUGCUAGGCCCUCAUUCUUUGUUUCGGUUCAGAUACAUCGAUGCGCUAGCCUCCGGGUGUUUUGGACUGGGAUUGACACAAUGAUAUUUUUUUCAUUAGCGAAAGGAAAUCAGAUUAUAAGUUGUAUUUAUUCCUUUUCUUACUCAUAUAAACGUUCUCGUAUACCGAGUCCGCGAGAUAAUAAUGUAUGCCCAAAAACCCCAUUAUGAUUAUUAUUAUUUUGGUUUGGUGGGUGAGAAUAAUAUUUGAAAAAACCUUUAUUUUCGAUGACUUGACUAUGAAUGAACUCAUAGACUUGCCUGGUUUAGGUAAGUUUAAUCCA